UCAGCCAACCAGUUAGGACAGAAGUUGUCUGGGCAAACAUUCUAAGAAAAUUCUCUACAUAUGGUGAACACAGUGGAAACAGCUUGUUCCUGUACAACCCUGACAUGGGAACUUCAUACAGUAAUUGUUCAGACAUAUCUCAGUUUGUGUUCUAAGGCAAGCUACAUGUGUUUAGAACAGUAUUUUUUUAAAGAUCAGACAUGCAAACAUCAGAUAUGCAAAUUUAUUUUUUUUUUAAGAUCAGACAUGCAAACCUCAGAUAUUGUUGCUCUGAUUAAUUAUAUUACUCCGAUCUCAUGCCUAAAUGCAUAAAAGUGCAAUGUUAAGGUACACACUGACCUCGCAACUUCCUUGGAAUGUGGUGGUAGCAACAGACACUCCAUCUAAAAUUGAGCAACAGCUAUCUCACGUGCCCUUCUCAGAUUUCUCAGAGUUUAACAUUUAUAUACAAUUUAUAUACAAAUGCAGAUAUAAAUAGCAAGCAUUUAUGUCAGUCUUACUGUGUCACUUAACUGAAUACAAAGUCAAUGCUUGUAUUACCUAGACCAGCUAUGCUGGGUCUGCCAAAGGCCCAUCUAGCCCUGUGCCCUGUCUUCAACGCUUGCCAAAACUGAAUACCUGGGGAUAUCUAAGCAACAGAAUAAAAACAUGGGACAAUACAUAAUGAUGGCUCCAUAAAAUACAAUAGAGCUUCCAACAAUCUGCAGCUUGUGGACUUCCAAACUUUCUGCCUGCUAAUUUGAUGCCUCCUCGUUCCAAAAGUGUGAGUGAGAAGAUGAGUGAGUUGCAAUACCCCAGGAGGAGAGGCAGACUCUGCAAAGGACAGAAUCAGCGUUCAAAAUCUACAGGAGCUCAGGCUGGGAAAGGACACAAAAUCAACUACCCUAACUCAUCAGGAACAUGCUAUAUUUGACAAGCCAAGUGUAUAAAUGCAAAAUGGGAAACAACUCAUUAAACAAGCAGUGCAGUGGAAAAAAAGAAUACUUCUACUUGAGUUAUUUGCAAGUCUUAAAAAAAAAUCUAUGCCUGAGAUGCAUUUACAAGACAUUUACCAUACAGAGCCAUGUCUUACCACAAGCCAUGUCUUUUACAUGAUACUCAUAAGUGUUUACUGAUAUUGCUCAGUUUGAGCAUUGCUCAGAGCAAUACAGAUACUCACACACAAAUAAUGACAGUUUCUGAAAACAUAACUGAGUUAGAAUAUAUCCUUGUAUAAAAACAGUUAAAGCAGCCCCAGUACAAUUCUGCUGGUCCUUUGUUUCUGCCCUUACUUCUUCAGAAGUUGCUCUUCUUAUAGCCAAGAUAAUGUUCAACCUUUAUGUUCAGCUAAUAGGGACAGAAGACAAGUAAGGCUUACAGAAAUAGGAAUGCAAUGUUUUUUGGUAAUUGUAAAGAAAUGGCACAAUUCCAACAUUUUCUCCUCAUCUCUUCUGUGCACCCUCUGUAAUGGAAGGUGAGUUGAGCUUCUGGGGACAAGGAAGAGAGGAAAAUGCCUUGUGAUUGCUAAGACAGAAUUGAGCUAUAACCAAAUUACUAGAGAGUAGUACAGAGAGUAGGCCUGACUUCAAAACUUUGCAAACCACUCUAUGGGAGAAGAAAUUGGUUAUGUGCACUACAUAUUAUUUCUGGCAAAUAUAAGAAAAAUACCAAGCCAAACAAGCCAACUAUUUCUACCAGUGAGAUGCAUGACACCUACAAAUGCUGUGCAACAUCCCUUAUUUCCCCUCCCCUUAAAAAAAAGAACCGACCAACCACCAACCUUUUCCUGUAAUUGUAUAGAAAAAGGUAUUAAACAGUUUUUAGACUAAGUGUGACACUUCUGCCAAAGUUACAGCAUUUCUAGUGAAGUAUUAGUUUUUGCUCCUGUAAGAAAAAAUUUACCAGUAUUUUGAUUUUAUCAUGUAUCAAUAUAAACCAAACAAAUCCAGCAGAAUCCAUUAUUUGGAAAGGUAGCUAACAAUUUGGAAAUAACUAGUCAGAAAGCAGGAAUAAGGUUGCACAAUAUUAAUAAAAAAAAAAAUCGAAGCAUUGAGAACUCUUUGCAAUGUAGACAAUUCUUUCUGCAAUCUGCAGAAGGUUUGAUCAUUUAUGUGCUUUAGAAAAAAAAAACCACCACACAUAUCGCUGCCUGAGGUGAGGCAACACAUUAUAUAAAACAAAGGACAAUUACAAUCUGGUAGUUGAACAGUACAGUGGCUACUGAAAAAGUACGUGUUUAGGCUGCAAAUAAAACUCAAUUUCCAUUUGCUUUCCAAAGUAUGCAUCCAUUUCUGAAGGACUGCAGCAACUUUUAUAUAUUAAGAACAUUUGGGGAAACCGUAUUUGAAGCAGAAUUGUUUGAGGUGUUUUAUUCAGCCACAUACAUCUUCCAACACAAACUCAUACGAAUAUAUGAGCCAAGAUGAACAGAACAGCAACCACUAUGAAAUACCAAGGCUGGAAGUCUGAGUACUGAAGAUGCCUUCAGAUUGUGUUGAAAUAACUGAAGAAGUAAGUAUGUGCUCUCUGGAGCCUAUUUUUAUUUAUCUGUUAGGCUAUAUUCUGCCCUCUGUCUUGCUGUAGGUCCACAGGAAGUAUUUUCUUCAGUCUGUUACCAGAUUUCAGGCAGUUGUGUAGGGCCGUGUGAGGAAUGGAUCUUGUCUGGAUAACCAAAACAAGACAAAGAGACUGUGCAACAGAAACUGGAACUGGUGGUGUCGUGUUUUGGUACUGACUGGCCCACAUGACUGCCCUUGGCUUACUUAAGUUUGUUCCUAUCUGUAACAUCAAGGAAAUGGAUUAACAAGAGUAAAACAGAAACACUUCUGCUACAGCCUUGAUCUUGUUGGAGUUCCUAAUGGAAAAAGACCUCUUAUUAUCUAAUCCACUCAUCUGCAAAGAAGCCUCUUUGCAACUCCCUGAAGGACAGGACUUUUAUUUUGAGAUACAGUGAAACAGCAUUUCCUUGGUGUCUCAAGAGUGAUCUGAAUACACAAUCACACUGUGCCUGAGACUCAUUUCAGAGGAACUUUAUGUACACAAAGAGGUAAAUAAAUCAAGUCCUCAUGCCCUGCAGUUGUUACUGCUGUGGAUUGGUAUUCCCGUGUGUUGUGGCAAAGGGUCAGCUUCUUUUUGUAGCCAGGAGCAGCAGUCAAUGGCAUCUCCAAAACAGAAAACUUCAGAUCAACAGGGAACAAUGACACAAGGGUUCUAAAUGCCCUCACUUGUCUCACCACCCUAGGCUUCCUGUAUAUAUUCAAGGGAAACAAACAGCCACCAUUAAGACACAAUAUACCUCACCAGCCUACAGACACUUGUUUGGGAGGAGAUCGAUCAGGAUAUAUAUAUAUCAUGAAGUAUUGCAAAUAUUUCUCCGUUGAUCAUGAAAUUAGACCAAGUAGACUAUGUAAGAAAUAUUUAGGCACAUGACUUGCAGAUUGUCUUAAGCAAACCCAGCAGGCAAAACAUAUGCAAAUCAGAGGUAUGUAAAGCAACUGACAUAAUAAACAAAGCAUGGUAAUUAGAUGAAAGGGGCAACUGUCUCAUAUAUAUGAGGAGUUUUCUUCACUGCUCUCAGUGACACAUUAGAAAUAAUUUUGCACAAGUGCAUUAUGGAAUUAUGAUUCGAUUGAAAAGAUUAUUUUUUCUUCCUCUUGGAAAAAAGCCCAAUAGCUACACAUUAUGCGAAGCCUGUCAAGCUCUGAAUGGUGCUAGCACAGAAUAUUAUUCUUCAGAACACACUGACCAUUGUAAUGCAUACAAAUGUCUAUGAGCUGGGCUGAUGCAAGUGUGAAAUCAGUGUAGCUCAAAAGAUGAAUUCAGGUCUGGAAAAGCUGUGACCUGAAUUUGAAGCUGAUCUGUCACAUCAGCUGACCCAGUAAUGGAUGUUGUUACCUACCAAAUGCUUGCCUGGAAGUGGGCAGCAAGUCUGAUGGCUCUGGGAGCCCACAGGUACCACCACAGCUAGCCCUCAUAAAAGGAAUCCACAAAGGGACUGGAGGAGGGAGGUGGUGAGGAACAGGAAUGUCCUGGUCUUAGAAAAUAACCUCUGUGUGUCUGUUUGUAACCUUCUAUCAGUGAAGGCUAUUAUUUCAGAAAUAUCCCAGCGAGCUAACUACCGAGCUUCAAGAGCAUCUCCAUAUUAACACAUGGUUUUCAACAUCAAGUCCUAAAGUGCUUCAAUAAAGCUGCCAGUUAAAAGCUUCAGCCAAGAAGUGUCCUUUUUCUCUAGUAAAUGUUACAGUUUUUUCUUACAGAAUUCCAAAUCUUCGUUGACCUGAUCAUAUCAGCAGCAGGGGAUGAGCCAUGCUGUUCAUGGUGCUGCACUUGCUUGUUUUCACCUCUUGGAAGCAGAGGAGAAUAUGUGCUUUGGGAAUAAAAGACCCUUUCUUUCAACCUACAAGGCCAGGAGAACCCUUUCAGGAUUUAUUUUCAUAGCCCAAAGAAUUAUAUCCAAAACAUUCAAUGUAUAAUAAUAAGUACUACACACCUACUGCAGUCUGUGUGGCUGAAGCAGUCAUUAGUGCAGGAGGGAGCCUAACACCAUGUCUGGUCAGGCAAGGCCCUUCCCAGAAGUCAGGAGCUUUGAUAUGAGAAAAUGAUAGAACAUAACAAGGGACUGAAAACAAGCUAUGCAGAGCUGCUGCUCUUCAGAGGAUUAAU